GCCUGGGUGGCUCAGUCAGUUAAGCGUCUGACUUCGGCUCAGGUCACGAUCUCAUGAUUCGUGAGUUCGAGCCCCACGCCGGGCU
rnacentral:tRNA from 1 species